GCUAACCGGAGGCGUCUUCAGUUGCAAGCAAUCAGAAGAAGCGACUGGGGCGAGGAACUAAUUAAAAAUGGCCGCAUUUGCAGUGAUUACUUCAUAACAGGAGAGGUAUCUGAGGACUGACAUUGUCCCGUUUGUCUUCUCCUACUCAACCCAGUCCAGCAAAGGCGAUGCAAAACAUGAGAUAUGAGAGAAAAAGAAGGGAUGAAACCCCCC